rnacentral:lncRNA from 1 species
AUGUGGUUCCAGAGGGAAGAAGAGGGGAAAAAAAGGAUGAAGAAUAUUGUUUCAGUGCUGGGGGAGCGGAAACCAGACGAUCCAGCGGCCACAGGACGAGUCGCCCCAACUCAACCCCAGCAGGACGCUGGAAGGGCCUCCCUUGCCCACCUCUCUUCGCUGGCACUGGCCUCCCACACCCGGGUCUGCAGUCCCUCCACCAUCUCACAGGCCUCUCCACUUGCCCGAGCUCUCAGCCACCAGGAGACAGACGGAAGGGGCUUCUGGGCUGUGUUGGGAGCGGGCACUGUCCCCUACUCACUCCUGCACAGUUUCCCAAAGUCCAGCGACCUCCAAUCCUCCUUGGGGAAAAAAAUACCAGUACCCAGACACCUCUGCACCCUGUUAUAUGACUGGGCUUGCUUCAGGAAUAUCUUACAAAGAAGAAGAAGAAGAAGGAGGAAUGGCUUGGAGUCAUGUUUACAUCUAGUUCUUCUGAUCCAUUCACAUCUGGAGAGUUUAUUUGUAACUCCCUCUAUAACUCUCUGUUUGGAGGCACUGGUGGCUCUACUGACAGACUGAUGUCUAGGAAAUAUUGCUCUAUGUCUAACCGUACCUAAAUGUGCUGUGGUUGUAUUUACAGAUUUACGUUUGAGGGAAAUAUAAUUAUUUCCAUUGUAUUUGUGCAUAUACAGUAGUUAUAGGAGCAGAUUUAUAUAUGGGAAAAUAUGCGACUCUCUUACAGCCAUCCGGCUUUAUGUACAUUUGAUAUCCUGACAGAUUUCUAUCUCUGAACAGCUAUAUAGAUAAAAACGUAUAUUGUUAGAAUUAUGUAUGAGGAGAUAUAUACUUAUUGAUUGCAAAAUAGUGUAUUUAGAGCAUUCACUUAGAGCCAUAUAUGGCUAUGGAGAGAUUUCUAUAUUAUUAUCACUAUAUAUAGGCAUAUCUAUUUAUAACUGCAUAGUUAUAAAAAUAGACAUAAGUAAUUAUAGUCCUAUAUGUGCAUGCUGCAAUCUCUCUCUAGAGUUAUAGACACUUUCAAAUAUAACUCUAUAGAGAGAUCUGUAUGUAUAUAAGGUGUAAUUAUCUUGUGAUGUGUUUACGUUGGGACUUAGGCCUGUCUGUCCAGAACAGACAUAUUUAUAUGUAGGGGCUGGGAGAGACUUAUUCACAGAUAUCUGCAGAGGGCCAACUGGAAACACUAUAUCUGCCCUCUAGGAAACCAGCUAGGAGAGUUGUGUACUUAUGGAGGGAUGGAGUUACAAAAGGGUAAAUAGAGCUCAGGGAGCCUUAAGGAGGGGAGGUGAAUGGAGGGUUGGUGGGCUCAGUUUGAACAGAUAGUGGGAGGAAAGGGGUAAACACCAGCACCCACCAGAAGGCAAGAACCAGUUUUGUGAGGUGCUGGCGCAGACGACUGUGGACAAGGAGCUUGUAAAAUGAGAAGCGGCUAACAGUCCUGCCACCUCAACCUGAGACACUCUCCACCGAGGAAGCAGCCUUCAGUUUGGCUUUUAGUGCACUGUAGGAUAGGGACUGUCGUGUCACUCCUGUAGUCCUAGAGCGUUUCUGUUGAACCCUAAUUUUUAGGUCUCAAAGAGUGGGCUUCAGAGAUAAAGAGGUUUAGGCAGGGACAGGGCGAGGAGCGUGGGGUGUACUUUCGCUUUCCAAUAAGUGAGGCAAUCCAGGAAAGUGAGUUAAUUUGGCCAAAUAAAGCUUGUUUUUAUGUGGGCCUCCUGUGCCCUGGUGGGGAUGUAGGAUGGGACCAGAAUCUGGUGGACUGAGGAGUGAAUUUCCAAAUACCUCCCACGACUGCCAGUUUUUGUGUUUGUGUGUGUGUGUGUGUGUGUGUGUGUGUGUGUGUUUUAACCAG